GACGAACGCUGGCGGCGUGCUUAACACAUGCAAGUCGAACAGAAAGGCCCUGCUUUUGUGGGGUGCUCGAGUGGCGAACGGGUGAGUAACACGUGAGUAACCUGCCCUUGACUUUGGGAUAACUUCAGGAAACUGGGGCUAAUACCGGAUAGGAGCUCCUGCUGCAUGGUGGGGGUUGGAAAGUUUCGGCGGUUGGGGAUGGACUCGCGGCUUAUCAGCUUGUUGGUGGGGUAGUGGCUUACCAAGGCUUUGACGGGUAGCCGGCCUGAGAGGGUGACCGGCCACAUUGGGACUGAGAUACGGCCCAGACUCCUAUGGGAGGCAGCAGUGGGGAAUAUUGCACAAUGGGCGGAAGCCUGAUGCAGCAACGCCGCGUGCGGGAUGACGGCCUUCGGGUUGUAAACCGCUUUCGCCUGUGACGAAGCGUGAGUGACGGUAAUGGGUAAAGAAGCACCGGCUAACUACGUG
rnacentral:rRNA from 1 species